UACAAGGUAGCCGUUUGGCGUCGUGAGGUAUGGAUGUUCCCAUCCCUAAUUUGCAAAAUAGGUAACUGAGGCUCAGGAGAGCUAGACUAGUUUGUGCACAGCCGAGAAGUGGUCAAGCUAGAAUGGGACCCCAGGUUUGUGCUCCCUACUCUCCACCGAUAACCUAUCAAAGGGCUUUGCAAGAGCUUUUGACUAAUCGUCUGUCAAUGGUUCUUCAUUCACGUAUUAAUUGCACAUCAGUAUGUGCCAAAUCUACUAGACAUUGGAGAAACAGUAGGAACAACACAUGGUACCGGCACAUGGAUCUUUCAGGAAAACGAAGUAGGUAAUAAACAGGAAAAAGCCCGAGUCUGAUGCUAAGAAGAACAUAAACAGGAUGCUGAGAGAUUGGGUCUCUCCACAUUGCCCCGGCUGCUCUCCAACCCCUGAGUUCAAGUGAUUCACCUCCCUUGGCCUCCCAAAGUACUGGGAUUACAGGCGUGAGCCACCGUGCCUGGCUGAGAAGAUGGAUUUAAGACAUAUUUUGGAGUAAAAUUUAAGUGUGGCUCUGUGCCUAUGCUCUCCCCAGCGGAAAGUGACCAGAAGAGGUGUGCAGUUUCCAGGCCUGGCCCAUACAGACCUCCAACAGGUGCUCCCCUGUGCUGUUACUCCUUCUGCCAACU
rnacentral:lncRNA from 1 species